AGCCAAAGAGAGUAAUAGCCUCGUAUUUGAAAUAUUCUUUAUACCUAGCAGUAUCCUGAGUACGGCGAGACACGCGAAAUCUCGUCGGAAUCCGGGAGGACCAUCUCCCAACCCUAAAUACUCUCUAGUGACCGAUAGUGAACCAGUACCGUGAGGGAAAGGUGAAAAGUACCCCGGAAGGGGAGUGAAAUAGAACCUGAAACCGUGUGCCUACAACAAGUUCGAGCCCGUUAAUGGGUGAGAGCGUGCCUUUUGUAGAAUGAACCGGCGAGUUACGAUAUGAUGCGAGGUUAAGUUGAAGAGACGGAGCCGUAGGGAAACCGAGUCUUAAUAGGGCGGAUUAGUAUUAUGUCGUAGACCCGAAACCAUGUGACCUACCCAUGAGCAGGUUGAAGGUGCGGUAAGACGCACUGGAGGACCGAACCAGGGCACGUUGAAAAGUGCUUGGAUGACUUGUGGGUAGCGGAGAAAUUCCAAACGAACUUGGAGAUAGCUGGUUCUCUCCGAAAUAGCUUUAGGGCUAGCGUCGACAUUUGAGAAUCUUGGAGGUAGAGCACUGUUUGGAUGAGGGGGCCAUCUCGGUUUACUGAUUUCAGAUAAACUCCGAAUGCCAAUGAUUUAUGGUCGGCAGUCAGACUGCGAGUGCUAAGAUCCGUAGUCGAAAGGGAAACAGCCCAGACCACCAGCUAAGGUCCCAAAAUAAUUGUUAAGUGGAAAAGGAUGUGGGGUUGCACAGACAACUAGGAUGUUAGCUUAGAAGCAGCUAUUCAUUCAAAGAGUGCGUAAUAGCUCACUAGUCGAGUGACCCUGCGCCGAAAAUGUACCGGGGCUAAAACAAUUUACCGAAGCUGUGGAUAACACUUUAGUGUUAUGGUAGGAGAGCGUUCUAUGUGUGAAGAAGGUAUACCGUGAGGAGUGCUGGAACGCAUAGAAGUGAGAAUGCCGGUAUGAGUAGCGAAAGAUGGGUGAGAAUCCCAUCCACCGUAAGACUAAGGUUUCCAGGGGAAGGCUCGUCCGCCCUGGGUUAGUCGGGACCUAAGGAGAGACCGAAGGGUGUAUCCGAUGGACAACAGGUUGAUAUUCCUGUACUAGAGUAUGAAGUGAUGGAGGGACGCAGUAGGCUAACUAAAGCGGGCGAUUGGAAGUGCCCGUCUAAGCAGUGAGGUGUGAUAUGAGUCAAAUGCUUGUAUCUGUAACAUUGAGCUGUGAUGGGGAGCGAAGUUAAGUAGCGAAGUUAGUGACGUCACACUGCCGAGAAAAGCUUCUAGCGAUGUAUCAUACUCUACCCGUACCGCAAACCGACACAGGUAGUCGAGGCGAGUAGCCUCAGGUGAGCGAGAGAACUCUCGUUAAGGAACUCGGCAAAAUGACCCCGUAACUUCGGGAGAAGGGGUGCUGACUUAAAGUCAGCCGCAGUGAAUAGGCCCAAGCAACUGUUUAUCAAAAACACAGCUCUCUGCUAAAUCGUAAGAUGAUGUAUAGGGGGUGACGCCUGCCCGGUGCUGGAAGGUUAAGAGGAGGGUUUAGCGUAAGCGAAGAUCUGAAUUGAAGCCCCAGUAAACGGCGGCCGUAACUAUAACGGUCCUAAGGUAGCGAAAUUCCUUGUCGGGUAAGUUCCGACCCGCACGAAAGGCGUAAUGAUUUGGGCACUGUCUCAACGAGAGACUCGGUGAAAUUUUAGUACCUGUGAAGAUGCAGGUUACCCGCGACAGGACGGAAAGACCCCAUGGAGCUUUACUGCAGUUUGAUAUUGAGUAUCUGUACCACAUGUACAGGAUAGGUAGGAGCCUACGAAGUCGGGACGCCAGUUUCGACUGAGGCGCUGUUGGGAUACUACCCUUGUGUUAUGGCUACUCUAACCCGGAUAGGUUAUCCCUAUCGGAGACAGUGUCUGACGGGCAGUUUGACUGGGGCGGUCGCCUCCUAAAAGGUAACGGAGGCGCCCAAAGGUUCCCUCAGAAUGGUUGGAAAUCAUUCGCAGAGUGUAAAGGUAUAAGGGAGCUUGACUGCGAGAGCUACAACUCGAGCAGGGACGAAAGUCGGGCUUAGUGAUCCGGUGGUUCCGUAUGGAAGGGCCAUCGCUCAACGGAUAAAAGCUACCCUGGGGAUAACAGGCUUAUCUCCCCCAAGAGUUCACAUCGACGGGGAGGUUUGGCACCUCGAUGUCGGCUCGUCGCAUCCUGGGGCUGUAGUCGGUCCCAAGGGUUGGGCUGUUCGCCCAUUAAAGCGGCACGCGAGCUGGGUUCAGAACGUCGUGAGACAGUUCGGUCCCUAUCCGUCGCGGGCGUAGGAAAUUUGAGAGGAUCUGCUCCUAGUACGAGAGGACCAGAGUGGACUUACCGCUGGUGUACCAGUUGUCUUGCCAAAGGCAUCGCUGGGUAGCUAUGUAGGGACGGGAUAAACGCUGAAAGCAUCUAAGUGUGAAACCCACCUCAAGAUGAGAUUUCCCAUAACUUUAUGUUAGU
rnacentral:rRNA from 1 species